GUUUCCUUCCCCAAUUUCCAAAACAGACAUAAAAAUAGUUCUCUUUUGUUGACUUUAUUUCCACCUUUUCUCUUUCCCUCCACUUUCUUUUCCCCUUUUGUUUUGCUCCCAAGCAAAGUGUUAACAGUAAAAUAAUUUCAAAGCAACUGUUACAUGCUAUUAUCUAGAUACAAUUUUAUUGGUUUAAUGAACUUUUUGAGAAGAAAGUAUAUGUAUAUUCAUGUGUUAUAUAUAUAUAAUGACAAAGAAACUGUGCAAAUUGAUCGGAUGCAAUUUAUGCCAAAAAAAAAAUCAGCCUAA
rnacentral:misc_RNA from 1 species